rnacentral:rRNA from 1 species
AUUGAACGCUGGCGGCAUGCCUUACACAUGCAAGUCGAACGGUAACAGGUCUUCGGAUGCUGACGAGUGGCGAACGGGUGAGUAAUACAUCGGAACGUGCCCAGACGUGGGGGAUAACGAGGCGAAAGCUUUGCUAAUACCGCAUACGAUCUAAGGAUGACAGCAGGGGACCGCAAGGCCUUGCGCGUUUGGAGCGGCCGAUGGCAGAUUAGGUAGUUGGUGGGAUAAAAGCUUACAAAGCCGACGAUCUGUAGCUGGUCUGAGAGGACGACCAACCACACUGGGACUGAGACACGGCCCAGACUCCUACGGGAGGCAGCAGUGGGGAAUUUUGGACAAUGGGCGAAAGCCUGAUCCAGCAAUGCCGCGUGCAGGAUGAAGGCCUUCGGGUUGUAAACUGCUUUUGUACGGAACGAAAAGGCUCUGGCUAAUACCUGGGGCACAUGACGGUACCGUAAGAAUAAGCACCGGCUAACUACGUG